GUCGUACGAGAAAUCCUCUGCUUGCAGGGGAGAGUAAAGUGGCGCACGGGUGAGUAUCGCGUGGGUAAUCUACCCUUGAAUUCAGGAUAACACUUCGAAAGGGGUGCUAAUACUGGAUAACAUCCUGAUGGUUUCGGCCAUAAGGAUCAAAGAUAGCCUCUACAUGUAAGCUAUAGUUCAGGGAUGAGCCCGCGUACCAUUAGCUAGUUGGUGGGGUAAGAGCCUACCAAGGCAACGAUGGUUAGCUGGUCUGAGAGGAUGAUCAGCCACACUGGAACUGAAACACGGUCCAGACUCCUACGGGAGGCAGCAGUGAGGAAUUUUGCGCAAUGGGGGAAACCCUGACGCAGCAACGCCGCGUGAGUGAAGAAGGCUUUCGGGUCGUAAAGCUCUGUCAAGAGGGAAGAAAGUGGGAGAUGGUAAUACUGUUUUCUAUUGACGGUACCUCUGAAGGAAGCACCGGCUAACUCCGUGCCAGCAGCCGCGGUAAUACGGGGGGUGCAAGCGUUAUUCGGAUUUAUUGGGCGUAAAGAGCGCGUAGGCGGUUUAUCAAGUCAGAUGUGAAGGCCCUGGGCUC
rnacentral:rRNA from 1 species